rnacentral:tRNA from 1 species
GGAGGUUUAGCUCAGUGGUGCCAGCGUUUGCCUGGCAAGCACAAGGUCCUGAGUUCGAUCCCCAGCUCUG